rnacentral:sRNA from 1 species
GCGCGCUAGUGAGUGCGUGGCGGGUUGCAGCCACAAGGGUGCACAUCAUGCCCGAACGCUAGUGCAAAGCGGAAAAAGGCAAUUUCGUGCGCUGCGUCCAAGUGCUGUUCUCGUCGCUGCGUCGCUGCAGCGGUGACAAGCGAGGUGACGUGUGCAGCAGCGUGCAUAUCGUCUGCUCUGCUUGAAAGGCGAGGGCGCACGCAAAUGCGCACGUGGUGAAGUCUUACUCCGGCGCGGCGCGGCUCGGCUCGGCGCGUCGUGGUCGCAGCGCCAGGUCAUGCACACGCAAUCGGAAUCAGGCACUUCGACCGAUCUUGCAACUCCGGC